ACCCACCCAAAACAAAUCGGAUCGAAACCGAUUAUCUCCCCCAAACCCCGUCUCUCUUCUCUCUUUUGUAAAGUACAGAAAAAAUGGAAGAGGGAAACGCAGAGUACCGCUGCUUGGAGAGCUUGAGAUGGCCGGCCUUGAUCGACGAGCCUCCGAGAUGCGGAGAGGAAAUCAUCCCUGGCGGUGGUAGGCUUUUCGAGAACGAAAGUCUUAUUGGAGUCGAUGUCCAUCAUCUCCGUCUCGGAAUCAGCUUUCCUGGCGUAAUGCAUAUGUGAGAAAAUCAGGGGAGAAUCCAAGAGAGGAGUGAUGAUGAAGAAGAUGAUGUUCUUUCGCCCUUUCAACCUCCCGAUGGAAUUGAAUCGAAGAAUUUCUCAAUGGAAUUGUUGAUUGAACUAUUUAGAAAGAUGAGGAGAAGACUAUAGCCGUAAUCUUGUGUGGAGAGCGGCGAACACCUAAUCCUAAACCUUUAGGGACGCACACACUCCACUCCGCGGCUGCUUCAAUUCCUUGAUCCUCCUUUAAUUCCCUCGGCAUCGGUCUCGAUCUUCUAAGUCUUCCUGCAUGUUCCAAUCCAAACAUGGAGAACCUUCGAAGUUGUUUGCAGACUUCUCAACCUUCCUUGAUGCUUUGAGUUUGUUAAAGAUGUCGUCACUAUGCUCAUCCUCUUUCAAAGACGUGAAGAGAGAAUGCAGAAAAUGCAAUGUGGUCUGCAGGGAAUCAACUUGGAGACAGCUCACAAUAGAGAGGUAGAAGUAGGAGAAAGCAACCAAGGUUGAGUUGGGAACACCUGAAGCGUUGGUUCCUUGUUCUUCAAGACGUGAAGAGAGACUAGACAAAAAAAGUUUUUUCUUGUUUUGUUUGAUGUUUCUGUGUGUCUCAUCAUCUUCUUCUUCCUUUGUCUCAAAGAGAGGAUUCUAUUAGAUUUUGAAUCUCUGGUUCUGUACAUUUCAUAGUUUAGUGAUGAUAUGGAGCUUGCAAGUUCACAGUGAUGGUAAGGACUACAUGAAGCCCAUUAACCCUUACUUCUCGCUUGGCAAAAGAUUAUUAAGAGGGAAAAUUGAAUAGUUACCCUUACUCAUAUUAAUUUUUUUUAAAACGUUUUAUGUUUUAUAAAGUUCGUUUUGUUUUGUUCAUAUUAAAA